rnacentral:rRNA from 1 species
CAGGUGUAGCGGUGAAAUGCCGUAGAGAUCUGGAGGAAUACCGGUGGGCGAAGGCGGCCCCCUGGACAAAGAACUGACCGCUCAUGGUGCGAAAGCGUGGGGAGCAAACAGGGAUUAGAUACCCUGGUAGUUCCACGCCCGUAAACGAUGUCGACUCGGAGGUUGUGCCCCUUGAGGCGUGGCUUCCGGAGCUAACGCGUUAAGUCGACCGCCUGGGGAGUACGGCCGCAAGGUUAAAACUCAAAUGAAUUGACGGGGGCCCGCACAAGCGGUGGAGCAUGUGGUUUAAUUCGAUGCAACGCGAAGAACCUUACCUACUCUUGACAUCCAGAGAACUUUCCAGAGAUGGAUUGGUGCCUUCGGGAACUCUGAGACAGGUGCUGCAUGGCUGUCGUCAGCUCGUGUUGUGAAAUGUUGGGUUAAGUCCCGCAACGAGCGCAACCCUUAUCCUUUGUUGCCAGCGGUUAGGCCGGGAACUCAAAGGAGACUGCCAGUGAUAAACUGGAGGAAGGUGGGGAUGACGUCAAGUCAUCAUGGCCCUUACGAGUAGGGCUACACACGUGCUACAAUGGCGCAUACAAAGAGAAGCGACCUCGCGAGAGCAAGCGGACCUCAUAAAGUGCGUCGUAGUCCGGAUUGGAGUCUGCAACUCGACUCCAUGAAGUCGGAAUCGCUAGUAAUCGUGGAUCAGAAUGCCACGGUGAAUACGUUCCCGGGCCUUGUACACACCGCCCGUCACACCAUGGGAUU